rnacentral:ncRNA from 1 species
UUGCGUUAUCAAGAGCGGUGCACUUCCGUGCACCCGGCAACCUGGGGUGGACACCCAAGGUGCUUUCCUACUUUGUAGGGAUAUGGCUGAGGUCUACGACCAAAGCAACAAAGUG